CAUCCACAGAGUGAGACCUCCUGUUUCUUUCUCUCCUCUCCGGUGUGAGUCGCACGUGUGCGGUAUCAACAUCAGUAGCGGCAGCUAGCAGGGAAGCUACCCGGGGAGAGUGCGUGUUCCCCCCGCUACAGCGACAGGUCGGCCCGCUGGGGAGGAGCAAGGAGGGUGAGAGGAGUGAGGAGCAGAACCGGAGCCGUGAAGCGAGAGAUGGAACCGGACUGAGCAGCUCCGGGGACGGACGAGGCCAGAGAGACGACAGGGAAACAUGCACGUGAUCUUCUGACCCCUGGACGCCGUCAGCCCUCGUCCACACUUCAUCUGUCUUCACCAUGCACGUGAUCUUCUGACCCCUGGACGCCGUCAGCCCUCGUCCACACUUCAUCUGUCUUCACCAGCCGGGAGUGGUGGACGAGGAACUGGAGUCGGCCAGCGAGGUGGUGCUAUUGUCCAUGCACCUGUUAUUACAGGUGCUCCGGGAGGGCGUGGAGCAGUUGGAGGGCGGCCCCGAGUCGGAGCCGGGGCUGCUGUGGUUGGAAAUGGGCGAGAACAGGGCGUCCUUGCGGAGACCUUUGUGCUCCAGCUCCAGCUGCAGGUGGUGGCAGAUUUCCUCCGGCAGUCGCUGGUACUCCUCCUCCAGCUCCCUCUCUAACUGGGACUUAAGCUGCAUACGGCACAUCAGGAAAACAAGUGUUACAGAGGUACAGUUAGAGAUUUCUGGAAAUUCACUUAUUUGCUCUCUUGCCAAAUAAAACCUAGUAUGGGGGCUUGAUUUUUUUUACCCUGAGGUGAAAUUUGAUCACGCAAGAAUCUGUGAGUUCUGAAGUCUCUGAAAUAACCACUUAGAAAUAAUUUCUUUAAAUGGCAAGUGCGUAGUCCUACGCUGUGUAGUUACUUAAAGAAAUUUCAAACAAACGUAUUGCAUACAGAAGUAUCACCUAUCUAUAGUAUGACUUAAUAAAGAGCUGAAUAAUUUAUGCUUCAUAUGUAAACUCAGUCUUUGUGUAUCCGUAUUUACAAAAUUAACAUCUUUUUUUGUUUUCAAAGAAAUCGAGUGCAAUUUAAAUUAAAAGCAGAUCCAAAACUAAAAUAAUUUUAGCAUAUUGUAAAGUUAAUGCAACCGAUUUAACACUGUCGGUAAAAUAUUUUUUCCGGUUCAAUGAAUGGUCGUUGUAAAGUGAGUCCAUGUGUGUGCUGCCUCACCUGUGGGAGCUCCUCGACUAUGUGUUGCAUAAUCUCCAGCUGCCUCAGCUUCAACUUCUCCUGUCUCCUGAUCUGAGCCUGCUCCAGCUGAGGGGUGAGGAAAGAGAGAUGAGAAGAGGAGGGAUAUGUUACUCAAGAGCCAUAAUGUACUAUAAAGUAGAUAAAUAGACAUUCUCAAUGACUUCCUGUGUGUGUGUGUACUUGCCCCGCGGAUUAAGGUGACAGAGUCUUGAAUAUGUUUCUUGUUGAUCUCAUUCAGUUCCCUGCAGCGUGAGGAAGAAAAGAAAGACAAAAGUGAGUUGUUUAUGCCCAAACAUCCAAUAAUCAAUACACUUCAGCAAAGUGUUUUACGUUUCAGCCUUGUCUUUGUCGCGGGUUUUGGCUUCGCAGAUGCUGUUUUGUCGCUUCCUGUCCAGGAUCUUCUGGAGCUCUUUCUUCUCCCUGCAGACAAAGUUACACACCAGCUUUACAUCCCAGAGAGGAGCAGAGCAACUCUUCAUAUUUUAUUAAAUACUAAGAC